GUGAUAACUUUGGCAGCACAUUACUAAAAUUGGACUGACACAGAUAAAAUUAGCAUGGACCCUGUCCAGGUAUGGCAUGUAAAUUCAUUAAGUGUUCCAUAUUAAA